GUGGCUGUGGCUCAAUUGGCUAGAGCACUUGGUUGUGAUCCAAGGGAUUGAGGGCUCGAGCCCCUCCGGCCACC
rnacentral:tRNA from 1 species